GGUUGCUGGGUACCCAUCUGUUCAGUGACUUAGAAACACGUCACUGGGAGCUUCGCUUUGCCCUCACAUCACCUUCUUGUCUGUGUUUUCUUUUGUAAGGACACUUGUAAUUGGAUUUGGUGUCCAUACUAAUCCAAUAUGGUCUCAUCUUGAGACCCUUAAUUACAUGUGAGAAAAAAACACCUUUAGGUGGACAUGUUAAACAGUGAUAACAGAGAAGUAGAAUAAUUAGAGGCAGAGUGCUGAAGGACUAUAGAUGUAACUUUAGUAAUGUGAUCAGGACAUGCCAGUGAAAAGUCAGCUGGUAAAACUAUCUAAAGUCAAGAGAACAGAAAAUUGCAGGCACUGCCUGGGAAUGACCCUCAUGCACAAAAAGACAGUGAAGCAUCAUGUGGCUGAAGCAUGCUGGUAGGACUCGUGCAAGACUUUGCUGUUUAAUCCCAUUUGGAUGUGAUUUAUGGUGAAAUCUUGCUUGUACAAAUAAAGCCUGUCUGAAGGUCAAAGAAUGGAGCUUGCCACUAGUUAACCAUAGAGGUCUGGAGGUCUGUACAGACAGACAGGAAGUGAAGCAGCUGGGCAGAAACAGGAUAUAAGCCGGGAGAAACAGAAAUUCUCUCUUGUCUGCUGAGACACUAAGGAGGUCACUAUGUUUUUAAGAUCUCAACAUGCCUACAAAACUCCUGGUAUUCUUUAAAGUGGACCUGAGAGUCUGUACAAGUCCCCCUCCCCCCAUGAUGCCCACAUUCUAUGACAGACCACAUUUUGAGGAUCCAGAGGUGAAAGAAAUCAAAUAUACUUUGAACCCUGAGCUUGUGAAACAAAGCAUAUGUAUUUCCUGGCAACGUGGGACUCAUAGAGCUUCUGCCGUUGUGAGAUGAAAGAACAAACACACAACAGCCCAGCAGGACACAGUGAGAUUCCUUAGGGGUCACUAGUGGAGACAGCAUGGCCCCAACCACAUUUUGACCCUGGAAAAUAUUUCCACAGUGUUCCAGCUGUUUUCCCCACCAG
rnacentral:lncRNA from 1 species